rnacentral:rRNA from 1 species
AUGCUCGUCUUAAAAACUGAGACUCAAAACGCAGCUCUACAGGACAGAUCGGGUUCAUUCACGAUGAGCACUCUAAUGUAUAAAGAUGAAAGCACAGAGGGCGUACCGAUGGCAGAGCUAAUGGCAGUGGCUAGCUGGUACAUAUGGUGGCAGAGGAGACAGAAAGUAAAGGAGAUACACAUCCCACCACCGGAUUGGACAGCUGUUUCAAUCCGAGUCCUGGCCACGAACUUUUACCGUUCACUCGCAGUGAAUCAGCCCAUAAGAAAGCGUGAUCACAUGUGGCAGAAACCGGGAAGGGGAGUAGUGAAGAUAAACGUGGAUGCGUCCUUUUGUUAUGAGAAUAUGAAUGGAGGAAUGGGGGCUAUUACGCGGGAUGAGCGUGGUGAGUUCAUUGCUGCAGCUAGCUGGUUUAUACCGCAUGUGACAACAGCAGAAUCUGCGGAGAUAAUGGCCAUCCGUAAUGGCUUCUAUCUUGCCUCUAAGAUCGGUUGCAAUACUUUCCAGAUAGAAUCUGAUUGCUAUAAUGCGGUCCAAGCGUUUAGUAUGGAAGAAUACUCGGGACAAGAUUCAGCUACUGUACUUGAAGGAAAAGAGUUGGGAUUAGAUGUUGCUCAUUAUGAAAUCAUUGCUUGCCUAGGGGAAGCAAAUGAAGUAGCUGAUUGUAUAGCUAAAUACUCCCUCUCUAGUAGACUCUCGGAGUUUUGGGAUAGCUCAAUCCCGGACUUUAUUUCUCAACUUGUUGUAAACGAC